AGUAAUAGUUAUGAUCUUGAAACUUAAAGAAUUUGGCGGUAUUUUAGUCUGUUUAGAGGAAUCUGUCCCAUAAUCGAUAGUCCCGCGUUGAAUCUUUACUUAAUUUAUAAGGUAUGUAUACCGCCGUUUUAUUGAAUAUUUUUUUAGGAUAAUAUUUUCUUAAAAUGUAUAAUAUAAUGAUUUUACUUCAGGUCAAGGUGCAGCUUAUAAUUAAGGGGAGAUGGAUUACAAUAUUUUAAGGUAAACGGAUUGUGAUUUUGUAAUGAAUUAUUUGAAGGUGGAUUUAAUAGUAAUUUUUUGUAGAUUGUAAAUAUGAUUUAGGCUCUAAAAUAUGU
rnacentral:rRNA from 1 species